AAAGUAUAUAAUUUUGAAAUCUGGCUUCUAACUAGAUUUUGACUUACUAAUUAUAAGUCAUACUUUU
rnacentral:tRNA from 1 species